GUGGGGAAUAUUAGGCAAUGGGCGAAAGCCUGACCUAGCAACGCCGCGUGAAGGAAGAAGGCCUUCGGGUUGUAAACUUCUUUUAUGAGGGACGAAGGACGUGACGGUACCUCAUGAAUAAGCCACGGCUAACUACGUGCCAGCAGCCGCGGUAAUACGUAGGUGGCGAGCGUUGUCCGGAUUUACUGGGUGUAAAGGGCGCGUAGGCGGACUGGCAAGUCAGAUGUGAAAUACAGGGGCUAAACCCCUGAACUGCAUUUGAAACUGUUGGUCUUGAGUAUCGGAGAGGCAAGCGGAAUUCCUAGUGUAGCGGUGAAAUGCGUAGAUAUUAGGAGGAACACCAGUGGCGAAGGCGGCUUGCUGGACGACAACUGACGCUGAGGCGCGAAAGCGUGGGGAGCAAACAGGAUUAGAAACCCGAGUAGUCC
rnacentral:rRNA from 1 species